GUAAUAUUAGUAUUUUUAGUAUAUUUAGUGUCCCGUUCAGUGAUGAUCCUAACAAAAAUCGCUGGACUGUUGCUAUGGUUACCUGGGCAGGUGAACGCGAUUUCGGGAUUUAUUUAACGCUUUUUGACUAAUUUGCAUUUUAACGCUCGGCUUUGGUUCAAUAUUGAAAUCACUUUGAGCAGAUUUAACUUAAUAAAACGCGUUUUUUAUUUAUGCAUCCUACUUUGGGUAGACCUAAUCAAGGAAUUUGCACAGAAUUAAAUUUCUGCUGAUGUGUAAUAUAUUGCCUACUAUACUGUUUUAUUUUUUUAUUUUUUUAUAUAUAAUUAAUGAUAAUGAAAAAGUUUAACGUUAAAUUUUAGUGCAAUGCAUCACAAAAAUAUCAUCUGCCAAAGUGUGUCCUUUCUGUCUUGACCAAAUGAAAGGAAGUCUUCUUUAAUUUAUCUGAAUAUUUUCAGUAAAACAUUAAUAAGCUAGAUAAAGCGCGAGGUGUUUAUCGCACUAAAACUUCUUCUUCUUCUUCGCUUCUUCUUUUUCGACUUCAAAGGAUUUUCCAGGCACCCGAAAAUUAGCUUGAGGAAUAUUUGACUGUGCAAUUACAGAUAUCUGAGAGAGUCCUUGUGUAAAUUGUAUGUUUAAGUGGAUUCUGCCCGCACCUUCACUGUUGUUCCCUAUUAUUAAAAUGAUAGUUAAAAUGACAGCUUUUAACGAGUGGGAAAAUCAUUUAAUUGCAAAGGGUCUCAUAGGAACCUGUUGUCAGACCCUUUUCCUCUUAAUAUUAUUGCAGAAAUACGGGGCAUAAUUUUUAAACAGAAAUUGAUCCUUUAUUAUUAUUAUUAUUAUUAUUAUUAUUAGCCAAAUCAAAUCGAAAGCCAAAGCAUCUAAUUCAUUUACAGAUCCAGUCUUAUCAGAGAUGAUGAUGCCAACAUGAUUAAUAAUCACACGUUUAAAAGAGGCAGAACCUUGUAACAGAUAAGAGAAAUAUUCAUGAAGAUUUAUCGUGAAGAAAGUCCUGACAGACGCGCAGCGCUAAACGGUGAUCCGCUUCAUGAGUGCUUGAAGUCUAUUGUUUGCCAUAAGCCUGGUUUCCUCUCCAUUAUUCGGCCAAACGUGGCUUCUGAAAUUUAAUUACGCCUAUCGAAUGAGAUUAAUGUUGUACUAUUAUGGCGUUCUGCCCUCGGCCUUAAUAUGCAUGUCUUUUGUUCAGCCUGGAGUCCAGAUGAGGUGAAGGUGAUGACGAGUGUCAGCGCAGAUGAUUGGCAGCUCGACUCUCACGUGUCGAUGUCUUUCCCGCUCGUUUCUGAGGGCAGUCCGUGUUUCAGUUUUCGUGUUUGAAACCCGAGGAUCAGCCGGACCUUUUUAAGCAUGAGUUUUGCAUGAACUCCAUGUGAACUUGAAUCAAACGUCAUGGUUCUUCAGCAGCAGAGGAAGAGAUUCAUGGGAAGGAAGCCGGCCUCAUGAGGAGAUGUGUAUUUCUCUGUAGAAGAUCAUGUUAUCAACACAGGACUGAUAUAGACCUCCUCGACUCAAGCUGGGGUGUGUAGAAGCUCUCUGGCUGAUGAAAGACUCGUCAUUACAGGAGGCCGGAGAAUAGGGCGAUAGGAAAGGCCCAAAUCCCGGAGUGCACCUUUAAAGAGAAGAAAGGAAUAACAAAAGGUGAAGGGGGUAAAAAGUGAAGAUAUCAAGUGACAUCAACCAAAUGAAGAUGGACCGUCCAUUUUACUGAUGCUCAUUGCUUGCAAAACUAGAAAGAACUUGUGGAAAUCACUGGAUCUACCAAAGGCUGAACAGCGGCGAAUGAACAGGAAGUCUCACACAUUCACAGAAAACAGAUUACUUCCGCAUUGAGGAAUAAGUUUCAGAGAAUCGGUGUGUGACAGAGCGACCUGAGCACGACACGUCUCCUUCAUUCAGAUCCACACAAAUCCAGCGUCAGUACGGACUGAUGUGAGAUGAGAGGAACGUUCUGCUGUGAUGAAUGAAUCCGUUUGAGUCAUCAGGUUAAUUCUCCAUCGUGUCCGUUUAUCUCUGUCUGUUUUUAUCUGAUGCAACACGCGAGAGAUAUCCCAGUCUGGGUUCGGAUGAUUGUGUCAUCUUACGGCGCUCGCUUUUGUUAUUGUGUUUCAUAUUUGUGUAUAAACUCUGACACUUUCACUGUUGCAUGAAAUGAAGCGAUUUAAACAAAGUCGGUCCUCAAUGUCAGAGUGACACGAACAUCUGAGAGCUGGAAACAUUUGAUUUGUUCUCGAGAGCAUCUGAUUGGUCAGAAUUCUGUAUACUGAAUGUAAAAUGAUGGCAAAAAUAUUUUAGGUCCAUUUUCAUUGAAGAGAACGUUUCAUUUAUUUAAUACUAUUUAAUUAAAUUGUAUUUUUUUUAAAUGAUGUAUGUUCAAAGUUAAUUUUAGGAUAAGAUCAGCCUUUAAAAGUGCUCAAAACUACAGGCGCUAAAAGCCACAAGAGUCCAGAUUUGAUUUCAUGGUGUUUUUAAUUAUGUUGCAUCAUAAAGGCAAAACUUCCAGUUGAAAACGAUUCAUUUACAGCAGACAGGUCCAUUUCUGUAGCUUUGUGCACUUUGUGUUUGGCCUGUUUAGGGCUCUGAAAAGCCAGCGGUCUGAAUCUGAAGCCACACAGGCUCGGAUAAUGUAGCGCUCGGUGCCACAAAAGCAGACGAAUCGCUGCGCAUUAAGACCGGCCACACAAAGAACAACAAUGGCGUGCAUAAACACCAUUUAGAGGCUUUGACGAGGCAUUGAGGGGCUGGGCGUCAGCGCGGCAUUGCAGCUGAGUCGGCUUAUUGUGACGAGGUGAAAAGAUGCCUAAUGAACAGGAAGCCUUACUUGAGCCCGCUGACAGGAACCAUACAACGGCCGCAUUGUGGGCCUGCCACCGACCCCGUGGGUCCCUGCAUUAGGAGAAAUGAUGAGAAAGUCGCCCCUUUAACACACACAGACCCAAACCCGGGGGGAAAAUGUCCAAACAAGCCCCUACUAUCCACCUUAUUCUUAACGUAAGAGCGGCACGGCCACUGAAUGUGCGAGAGUCAUUCGCUUCUAGUUAUUUUAGCUGCUUGAUAUUGCGAACUGUAUUUGUUAUCGUGGUAUUUUAAUUUAAAGCCAAUUAAGGCUUAUGCAGGGGUUGUUGUUUAGA